CUGACACCUUGAAUGGGAUUCUGAACAGAAUUUGUGCAGAUGGGAUUAAAUAUCAUCCUGAAUUGAAUUGGGCCCUCAUCCUGUCCAGCCACUCUGGAAAUGUCUAGAUUUACUUCCUUCGCAUCGCCAGGUCCCAGGGGCUUCACUUCAUUCUCUUCCAUGACAUUUGGUGGUAGUGGGAUGGGCAACUUCAAAUCUACAUCCCCUUCUACUAAAAUGGUAAUGGCAGAAAAAUCACUACAAAGAGAAUUGUGGAGAAUGGUGAAGAAAGAGUAGAAGUUGAAGACAACGGCCAGUUAAAGUCCUUGACGAUAAAUGGAAAUGAGACCAACCAGAAUCCUGGGUAAGCUGUUUCCAAACAAAGGAACUUACUAUGAAAAUGCAUAGGGGUAUGAAUGGCAUAAAAAAGUGGACUGUAGUGGAUACUGUAGUGUUCUGCUUAGAAACCUCUUUGGGGCCCUGAAUACCCCUACCUCAGAUGCUGGACUAUCA
rnacentral:lncRNA from 1 species